GCAAGUCGAGCGAACAGAUAAGGAGCUUGCUCCUUUGAAGUUAGCGGCGGACGGGUGAGUAACACGUGGGUAACCUACCUAUAAGACUGGGAUAACUUCGGGAAACCGGAGCUAAUACCGGAUAACAUUUAGAACCGCAUGGUUCUAAAAUGAAGGAUGGUUUUGCUAUCACUUAUAGAUGGACCCGCGCCGUAUUAGCUAGUUGGUAAGGUAACGGCUUACCAAGGCGACGAUACGUAGCCGACCUGAGAGGGUGAUCGGCCACACUGGAACUGACACACGGUCCAGACUCCUACGGGAGGCAGCAGUAGGGAAUCUUCCGCAAUGGGCGAAAGCCUGAUGGAGCAACGCCGCGUGAGUGAUGAAGGGUUUCGGCUCGUAAAACUCUGUUAUUAGGGAAGAACAAAUGUGUAAGUAACUGUGCACAUCUUGACGGUACCUAAUCAGAAAGCCCAGGCUAACUACGUGCCAGCAGCCGCGGUAAUACGUAUGUGGCAAGCGUUAUCCGGAAU
rnacentral:rRNA from 1 species